GUAGGUGGCAAGCGUUGUCCGGAAUUAUUGGGCGUAAAGCGCGCGCAGGUGGUUCUUUAAGUCUGAUGUGAAAGCCCCCCGGCUCAACCGGGGAGGGUCAUUGGAAACUGGGGAACUUGAGUGCAGGAGAGGAAAGUGGAAUUCCACGUGUAGCGGUGAAAUGCGUAGAUAUGUGGAGGAACACCAGUGGCGAAGGCGACUUUCUGGCCUGUAACUGACACUGAGGCGCGAAAGCGUGGGGUAGCAAACCAGGAUUAGAUACCCUGGUAGUCCACGCCGUAAACCGAUGAGUGCUAAGUGUUGGGGGGGUUUUACCCGCCCCCCCUCAGUGCUGCAGCUAACCGCAUUAAGCACUCCGCCUGGGGUAGUACGGCCCGCAAGACUG
rnacentral:rRNA from 1 species